rnacentral:misc_RNA from 1 species
UUUUUCAAAGGUUGUGCACGCCCGAGCGCUCUCGCCUACAAUCCACCUCACCACUUGUGCAUCACCGCGCGGGGCCUCCCUCUUGGCUCGCUUCGAGAGAGGCUCGCGUUCUUCACAUCACACACAUACCUUUUUAGUUUUGAAUGUCAUUCAUUUGCGAUAACACGCAACCAAUAUAACUUUCAACAACGGAUCUCUUGGCUCUCGCAUCGAUGAAGAACGCAGCGAAAUGCGAUACGUAAUGUGAAUUGCAGAAUUCAGUGAAUCAUCGAAUCUUUGAACGCACCUUGCGCCCCUUGGCAUUCCGAGGGGCACACCCGUUUGAGUGUCGUGAAAUUCUCAAACCUUCUUGGUUUCUUGACCAAGUUGGCUUUGGACUCUGGAGGUGUUUUGCUGGCUUUGCAGAAAGUCGGCUCCUCUUAAAUGCAUUAGUGGGGUCCCCUUUGCCAAUCCCCAGGCGUGAUAAGAUGUUUCUACGUCUUGGGAUUUGCUCUGUUCAUUGGGAACCUGCUUCCAACCGUCUCGU